GUCCCUGUAGCGCAAUGGAUAGUGUGUUGGACUUCUAAUCCAAAGGUCGUGGGUUCGAAUCCCACCUGGGAUG
rnacentral:tRNA from 1 species